rnacentral:lncRNA from 1 species
AAAUAAACUUGAAGACUAAACAAUAGUCAAAUUAUUGAGGCAUUACGCCUUCAUAAAUGUCUUGGAAAAAUAAAACAGAUCAAUCAAAGUCUGGAACGUCCUUUGACUGAGCAAGGUCCUUGUUGCUAGGAAAGUCUGCAAUUGUGAGGUUGACAUCUGGGUCAGGGCCUCCUUCGUCCAUAUACUGAGCCUCUUGCUCCAUAGACUCUCUAUACCUCCUGUAGUUGGUUGCUACUAAGUUGCUUGCUUGGCAGUUCUUGUACCAAUGUCCAGUAGUGUCACACCUAUAGCAAAGUUCUGUGCCAACUCUUUCCUUUUGGAUUUGAGGAUCCCUAGGAGCUUUCUGCAGCUUGGAGCCAUGACCACUGGGACCAGUUGUCACACCCCGGUUCUUGAGUUAUUUUACGGUUAUUUACUCUUGGUAUUACUUUGGCUUUUACCGUGUUGAGUAACCGUUUACUACUUAAGGACCCUAAAGUUGACUUUUUCUUCUGUUUGGAAUUUGGGAAAACUUUCUUCAUGAAAGUUGUAGAGGACGUUAAACAGAGUUCGUGAACACGCGGCACGCAUAAAACAGUGUUCGUAUGAAGAAGUUAUGGUCUAAUAACGAAAGUUUCUAUGUUGGUAAAAUGAGGUAAAUUCUAGUAGGCUUUAUUUGUUGUGGGUUUUAAGUUGGACCGGGUAGGAUUUGGAGAGCCCAAACCCCAUUCUCUCUCCCUCUCUCCCUUCUCUCUCCUUUCUCUCUCGAACUCUUCCCGACCCGCCGGAUAACCCAGUCCCGUCCGUCGCCGUCCGGCCGCCACAGACCGCCGCACCGGUCCCGAACGGUCGGCCGUCGACCCAGCUCUCUUCUUGGACCGGUGGGAGACGCUCUAGUGCCGCCGUGAGGGAGAGAGAGCGCCCGGAAGCUCCGACUGUGUUGUGGAGUCCUGUCGUCGGAAAUCGCUCCUCCGGCCGCCAUCACCGGUGAUUCGGGUCUUGUUAGGAAGAGCUCUCCGUGUGCAACAAUUCCCUAGAAGGUAAUGAUCCAAUUCG